rnacentral:lncRNA from 1 species
GCCCUCUCAGCAUUAUGCAGUGCCCCUCCUCUGUCUGCAUCCCCAGGACCACCAUGGGUGGGGAGGUCAGAGAUUGGGGAGCACCUAUAGAGGCUCUAAUGCUCUAAGGUGACAGUGAUGAGGACCUGGGUGCACCCAUGAGUGGAGAAGCUAGGCCUGUCCAGAGAAGCAAGACAAACACACACAUAUGUGCGCGCACACACACACACACAGGCACACAUGCAUACACAAACACAUUGCAUGCACACAUGUCAGUUCAGGGGAUAGAGGACACUGACUCUGGGCCCUGUUGACCCAAGCAGGCUUCCAUUGUGGUGGGUUGUGUCACCCCACAAUGUCACUGUUGCUGAGUCUCCAUCGCCUCUGUGUUGUGGAGCAGUUAGAGACACACAGCAGUGUCUGUGAGUGGCUCUGUUGAAGGACCGUUUUCUAGAUGAGAGGCACAUCUCAACACAGCUCACUGAUCAGACUCAGCAAUUCCAUUCUGCAUCUUUUCUCAUCACCUCCGUGACCACCCAGGACAACCCCAUCAGGGCCCUGUCACCAGGCCCAGUCCAGCUCCAUGAUAACCAAGACACAGGUCCAGAGACAACCAUCCUGCAUCAUGCCUGCAUCUGAACCCCCUUGGUGGGUAGUGACCAGCAUAACAUGGAAGAAGCCAGGGCAGCAUGCGGCCAGCUGCUCUGCAGCCCCAGAUGGCUCCUGGGCCUUGGGAAGUCAUUCUUAAAGGGGAAGCUGGUCACUUUGAGGUCCCUGAAGGGAAGGGUGAAUGUGCAUCCCAACAGCCCUGGCAGCCAGCAGCAUGCCAUACAUCUUCUCACCCAACCUGUGUGACAGAGGGCCCCUCCUGGGGCACAAGUCCCAUACCUAAAGCAUCCUGUCCCAGUUGGACCUCAUCCUGAGCCCUGGGAGGGGAGGGGCAUCAUGGGCCCCCCUGCAGCAGCCAGGAUUACCACCCAGGGGACUUGGCCUUCUGUGGCCCUGGCCAGACUUAGAAUUUGGCCCAAGACAAGACAAACUCACUCGGAGCAGCUUUUCAGUACCCGGG